CUAACGACUUUGCUGAACGAGCCGAGAGGAGGUGCAUGGCCGUCGUCAGCUCGUACCGUGAGGCGUCCUGUUAAGUCAGGCAACGAGCGAGACCCGUGCCCCUAGUUGUCAGCGAAUCCCUACGGGGAUGUCGGUCACACUAGGGGGACCGCUUACGAUAAGUAAGAGGAAGGAGCGAGCGACGAUAGGUCAGUAUGCCCCAAAUCUCCCGGGCUACACGCGGACUGCAAUGGCCGGGACAAAUGGUCCCAACUUCGAAAGAAGACGGAAAUCCUAAAACCCGGUCUAAGUUCGGAUUGAGGGCUGCAAUUCGCCCUCAUGAAGCCGGAAUCCCUAGUAAUCGCGUGUCAUUAUCGCGCGGUGAAUAUGUCCCUGCUCCUUGCACACACCGCCCGUCACACCACCCGAGUGAGGUCGAGGCAAGGCUCUGCUCAUUGGGCAGCGUCGAGUCUGGGUUUUGCAAGGGGGGUGAAGUCGUAACAAGGUAGCCGUAGCGGAAGCUGCGGCUG
rnacentral:rRNA from 1 species